UACGUAGGGCGCAAGCGUUGUCCGGAAUUAUUGGGCGUAAAGAGCUCGUAGGCGGCUUGUCACGUCGGGUGUGAAAGCCCGGGGCUUAACCCCGGGUCUGCAUUCGAUACGGGCUAGCUAGAGUGUGGUAGGGGAGAUCGGAAUUCCUGGUGUAGCGGUGGAAUGCGCAGAUAUCAGGAGGAACACCAAUGGCGAAGGCAGGUCUCUGGGCCACAACUGACGCUGAGGAGCGAAAGCGUGGGGAGCGAACAGG
rnacentral:rRNA from 1 species